rnacentral:rRNA from 1 species
GAUGAACGCUGGCGGCGUGCCUAAUACAUGCAAGUCGAGCGAACAGACGAGGAGCUUGCUCCUCUGACGUUAGCGGCGGACGGGUGAGUAACACGUGGAUAACCUACCUAUAAGACUGGGAUAACUUCGGGAAACCGGAGCUAAUACCGGAUAAUAUAUUGAACCGCAUGGUUCAAUAGUGAAAGACGGUUUUGCUGUCACUUAUAGAUGGAUCCGCGCCGCAUUAGCUAGUUGGUAAGGUAACGGCUUACCAAGGCAACGAUGCGUAGCCGACCUGAGAGGGUGAUCGGCCACACUGGAACUGAGACACGGUCCAGACUCCUACGGCAGGCAGCAGUAGGGAAUCUUCCGCAAAGGGCGAAAGCCUGACGGAGCAACGCCGCGUGAGUGAUGAAGGUCUUCGGAUCGUAAAACUCUGUUAUUAGGGAAGAACAAAUGUGUAAGUAACUAUGCACGUCUUGACGGUACCUAAUCAGAAAGCCACGGCUAACUACGUG